rfam:Nicotiana attenuata strain TT chromosome 12, whole genome shotgun sequence.
UGGACAGAUUAUUGUAUUCGACUGUAUUCACGGCGUGAAACGGGGGAUUACACUGUUUUUAAACGGAAAGUGUAUCAAUUAACAUAAUAGUCUCCU